GUGCAUCUUAAUCCAAAUGUGGGCAUGAGAACGAUGCACGACUUUAGCUCCAAAGAGGACACCUCCCGUCAUAGAAAAUAAACCACUUGGACACAGGUGGCUGCGACGUGGAAAUCAACAUAUCGGCAAUGAUGAUCUUAGAGUUUUCCGUCACAAAUUGGAUCUGAUGAAACAACAUGAGUUUGUCUGGGAGCCAUACACACCAACUGUGAUGGCAGCGUUGCCUCCAAUUUGUGUGGUUGGAA